rnacentral:misc_RNA from 1 species
UAGCGCCACCACUGGCUAUUACGAGUUAUGGCCCUUCUAUGUCCCUCCAACUGACCAAUCAGUUUCCCCCUACCUCUCAGAAGAAGAAGAAGAAGUUUAUUCAUGAAUGAAGGCCACAUGGCCCAGAGUUCAUUUACAGGAAUAAUAUAUACUAUGCCCAGGCACAAAUUCUCUUACAACAAAUGUUCAUCUUUUUUUACAUUUGUAUUUACAUAGGUAAAUGUCUUUUUAAAUAUAUGGACAGGUUUUUAAUAACACAAUCAUUUCUGGUAGAUAGAAGACAUCAAUUUUGGGACAGAUGGUUGUACAUGGUAACAUUUUGGAAUUAAAUUUUCUCUACUGCUUUUAUAAAAAAAUGAAAAAUUAACAAAAAAAUGGUAUUUAUUUUCUAUUUCAUAACGGUUACAUUUCGUACAUAAACUAAACGAUGACUCUGUGGUUGUAUUUAAUUGAGUUUUCUGUACAUUUAGAUUAUGGCUUAAACAACAGAACUUACAUAAAGUUCUAAGAAGAUCUCUUUCACAUGCUAAAGUAGACAGAUUUUUUCUGGUUCGAGUAGUGAUUUAUAAGAUGAAUAAACAUCAAGGAAAGAAGAAUUGGUGAAUUUGUAAUGCCAGUUUUGAAAUUCUAUAUCUUUAAAUCAUUUGAAUAUAACCAUGAAGCCGCAGUACUGAUACAACCACACCCAGUUUGAAACAAUAAUUGUCUUAUAUAAGAAACCCAGUAAGUUUGACCAUUUUCGUCAAAUGCUUCUAACAUAUGGUAACAGGCAAACGGAUAUCUUGUUUCAUGUAAUCUAAGUAGUUGACACCAGUACUUAACACAACGACUGUAAUAGUGUGCACACAGUGAUGUUCUUCCCAGCUCUUCUAGAAUUGCAUUUGUUGAUGUUCUUUUUCCAACGGAAAGGACACUUUUAAAAAAAUUACUCUGAACCAUUUCAAUGCUUUUUCUAUAGGCACAUCCCCAAAUGUCUGAGCCAUAUAAAAGAACAGGAGCAAUCUUUGAAUCAAAUAUUUUAGCAGCAGUAGAAAAUGGGAGAGAUGGGAAUUUCUUUAUCAUAUUUAACACAGGAAAAGUCGCUUUCCUUGCUUGAAUAGCUACCUCUCAUAUCACUCAUAUCUCAUAUCACUCAUAUCAUUUGCUUCAAACAAUAUGGCAGCGCAUAGUCAAGAUGAUCUAAUCGAUAAUCAAGAUCUAUAUUAAAAUAAAAUGGGUCUUGCCUCGCGAAGUGCAUCAGAUCUUUUGAGCACCAUGAUUAGAAACAUGAAAAGAUUUGGAAAAUAUCUGUCAACAUCCAGUUGACGGUACACAUGUUUUGGAAAUCCUGCAGUCGAACAACUUCUGCUCUUUGAAUCCAUGUUGUUUACGAACCUAGUUUCUUAUGCGAUUUUGAUUGGACUAUGCCAAGACUUGUUAGUCUAGCCACAAUGUAACUCCAGAAUUCCAGCCUAGUUAUACAAGGGUUGAAACUGGGCUUUUAUAGUCAGUAAACUCCCUUGUUUCGGGAAGAUGACUUUCCUCAUUGCUGCCCGAAGAUCAGAAGACACUAUUUAUUCCCUGUUAUCACAUUUUCUGUUACAUGACAGCGCACCCAAGCCCUAGUCGAAGUUCUGUAUUGACUUUGCCGGACUCUCGCCGUUGACGCGAUGAACAGCACUGUGUGCUCUACCAUGGAAGUUUCGAGAGCUCUCUGCAUGCCUGGACGGGAUGGUGGAGGUAUAUCUGUACUCAUGCAAUGGACCCGGAAACUCUCACGUCCAGUUGGACAUUUUGAGAGGCCUAUCUGUAGUCCGGUAUUGGCAGUGGAAGAUAGACGUCCCCUUCUCACCUCACCACCCUCUACCUCCUUGUACAGUUUACAGUACUUCAACAGGGAAGUCUCAUCCUCCUUAGGGGUGUUUUUCUUCCUUGGCCUUACAGACCGUACAGCUCACUUGUAAGUGUUUGGUCUUGCUGGACACCAGACACCCCUACACUGCACACCUUCUUGUGGAUCUCCAUUGUCAACCUGACAGUUUUGGGCACUUUAAAGUUGCUUUGCUUUUUAUUGGGGAAUUUUUGGCCUGAGUUCCAAGCUUUAUGUGCCACUUUUAAAUAUGUUUUCAAAUUCUUUCAAUGUCUCCAUGUUUCCAGAGUAAGUUCGAAAUACUGUCUAUAUGAACUUUUCUUUGGAAUGAAAGCAUCAACAUUGGUACUUGCCCUCCAGUAGUUAAAAUACCAAAUAUGGACCUGGCAUUUAUAUCUUGGACUAUGUAAACAAUGCAGGGGUACCAGUUCAAGCAAGCUCACUGAGUCCAGCCUCUUUUAUGAAUUAAUGUCAUAAGUGUCACAACCAAAUUCCAUGUUAUGUAUCAAACUCUGCAAUUAUCACUUGCUAUGAGCAUAGGUCUGCAAACAACUCACCGUCAAUAAACUUCAAAUCUGAAA